rnacentral:rRNA from 1 species
AGAACGAACGCUGGCGGCAUGCCUAAUACAUGCAAGUCGAACGAAGGCUUCGGCCUUAGUGGCGCACGGGUGCGUAACGCGUGGGAAUCUGCCCCUUGGUUCGGAAUAACAGUUGGAAACGACUGCUAAUACCGGAUGAUGACGAAAGUCCAAAGAUUUAUCGCCAAGGGAUGAGCCCGCGUAGGAUUAGCUAGUUGGUGAGGUAAAGGCUCACCAAGGCGACGAUCCUUAGCUGGUCUGAGAGGAUGAUCAGCCACACUGGGACUGAGACACGGCCCAGACUCCUACGGGAGGCAGCAGUAGGGAAUAUUGGACAAUGGGCGAAAGCCUGAUCCAGCAAUGCCGCGUGAGUGAUGAAGGCCUUAGGGUUGUAAAGCUCUUUUACCCGAGAUGAUAAUGACAGUAUCGGGAGAAUAAGCCCCGGCUAACUCCGUGCCAGCAGCCGC